rnacentral:sRNA from 1 species
CCUCAUAGCACAUUUGGGGGCAAAUGUAGUGAACGUGCGAAUCAAUCGCACCAGCAGUAAAAAUCAAGCCUUCGCCAGCAAGUGCUUCUGUGCCAACACCCACAACCAUGCCAGGCGUGACAUUGUCCAUCAUGUCAGGGUUGCCAGACUUGCCGAUGCCAACAAUAACGCCCUUCUUGAUGCCAAUGUCGGCCUUGUAAAUUCCAGUGUAGUCGAAAAUCAUGGCGUUUGUGAUGACGAGAUCCAGCACUUGGUCGUCGCAAGCAUCUGUCGCUUGGCCCAUCCCUUCUCUCAG